AUUGAACGCUGGCGGCAUGCCUUACACAUGCAAGUCGAACGGCAGCAUGGAGAGCUUGCUCUCUGAUGGCGAGUGGCGAACGGGUGAGUAAUGCAUCGGAACGUACCGUGUAAUGGGGGAUAACGUAGCGAAAGUUACGCUAAUACCGCAUACGACCUGAGGGUGAAAGCAGGGGAUCGCAAGACCUUGCGUUAUACGAGCGGCCGAUGUCAGAUUAGCUAGUUGGUGAGGUAAAGGCUCACCAAGGCGACGAUCUGUAGCGGGUCUGAGAGGAUGAUCCGCCACACUGGGACUGAGACACGGCCCAGACUCCUACGGGAGGCAGCAGUGGGGAAUUUUGGACAAUGGGGGCAGCCCUGAUCCAGCCAUGCCGCGUGAGUGAAGAAGGCCUUCGGGUUGUAAAGCUCUUUCGGCCGGGAAGAAAUCGCACAGGCUAAUACUCUGUGUGGGUGACGGUACCGGCAUAAGAAGCACCGGCUAACUACGUGCCAGCAGCCGCCGCAG
rnacentral:rRNA from 1 species